GGAGUCUGGAAUGAAAGAUUGGAUGAGAAAAUAACUUUCUUCAUUUUUUUAUUAAAAUUUAAUUUUUAAGUGAAAAAGCUUAAAUUUUUCUAAGGGACGAUAAGACCCUAUAGAGCUUUAUUUUUAUUUAUUUUAUAUUUAUUUUUAUUUUAUAUUUUUUAAUAUUUAAUGAUUUUUUAAUUGGGGUGAUGGAUUAAUUAUUUUUUCUUAUUUUUUUUUAUUCAUAUAUUAAUGUUUAUUUGAUCCUUUAUUUUUUUUUGAUUAUAAAAAUAAGUUACCUUAGGGAUAACAGCGUAAUUUUUUUGGAGAGUUCAA
rnacentral:rRNA from 1 species